rnacentral:misc_RNA from 1 species
GAUGAAGAACGUAGUGAAAUGCGAUACGUAAUGUGAAUUGCAGAAUUCAGUGAAUCAUCGAAUCUUUGAACGCACAUUGCGCCUGCCAGCACUCUGGCAGGCAUGCCUGUUCGAGCGUCAUUUCAACCAUCAAGCCCUAGGCUUGCGUUGGAGCCCUGCGGCUGCCGCAGGCCCCUAAAAGCAGUGGCGGGCUCGCUAUCACACCGAGUGCAGUAGAUUACUCUUCGCUCAGGGCGUGUGGCGGGUUCCAGCCGUGAAACCCCCUACUUCUCAAGGUUGACCUCGGAUCAGGUAGGAAUACCCGCUGAACUUAAGCAUAUAAUAAGCGGAGGA